rnacentral:misc_RNA from 1 species
CAUGAAAACAUCAUCCCAUCGGUUUUCCGAUGACGAUGGAUUUGGGUGUUGCCGUCUGGCUCGCCUUAAAAGUGUUAGUGGUUCUAGAUCGAAUCUGGCGUAAUAAGUUUCGCGGCCUAGGUCGAAGGCUGCUCAUAACCUGUCUUCUGACAUCUUUUUGCUCUGACCUCAAAUCAGGUAGGACUACCCGCUGAACUUAA